rnacentral:rRNA from 1 species
CUGACGCAGCGACGCCGCGUGUGGGAUGAAGCUCCUCGGAGUGUAAACCACUGUUGCCCGGGACGAAUAGCUCGAUUAAUCGAGCCUGACGGUACCGGGUGAGGAAGCACCGGCUAACUCCGUGCCAGCAGCCGCGGUAAUACGGGGGGUGCGAGCGUUGUCCGGAAUCACUGGGCGUAAAGGGCGCGUAGGUGGUUUGAUAAGGGUGUGGUGAAAGUCCGGGGCUCAACCCCGGAUCUGCCGUGCCGACUGUCAAACUCGAGGGCUGUAGAGGCAGACGGAAUUCCGGGUGUAGCGGUGGAAUGCGUAGAGAUCCGGAGGAAGACCGGUGGCGAAGGCGGUCUGCUGGGCAGUUUCUGACACUGAGGCGCGACAGCGUGGGGAGCAAACAGGAUUAGAUACCCUGGUAGUCCACGCCGUAAACGAUGGGUACUAGGUGCCUGGGGGAGCGACCCUCUGGGUGCCGGCGCUAACGCAGGAAGUACCCCGCCUGGGGAGUACGACCGCAAGGUUGAAACUCAAAUG